rnacentral:tRNA from 1 species
GGACCGCUGGCGCAACGGUAGCGCGUUGUAAGUUUAUCACUAUGCGAUUUAACUCUCCGUUUAUUAAUAAUUUCAUAGCGCCUCCAGAGCGAAAGGUUAUCCGUUCAAAUCGGGUGUGGUUCA